AGAGUUUGAUCCUGGCUCAGGACGAACGCUGGCGGCACGCUUAACACAUGCAAGUCGAACGAGAGAAGAGGAGCUUGCUUUUCUGAUCUAGUUGCGGACGGGUGAGUAACACGUGAGCAAUCUGCCUUUCAGAGGGGGAUACCGAUUGGAAACGAUCGUUAAUACCGCAUAACAUAAUUGAACCGCAUGAUUUGAUUAUCAAAGAUUUAUCGCUGAAAGAUGAGCUCGCGUCUGAUUAGCUAGUUGGUAAGGUAACGGCUUACCAAGGCGACGAUCAGUAGCCGGACUGAGAGGUUGAUCGGCCACAUUGGGACUGAGACACGGCCCAGACUCCUACGGGAGGCAGCAGUGGGGAAUAUUGCACAAUGGAGGAAACUCUGAUGCAGCGAUGCCGCGUGAGGGAAGAAGGUUUUAGGAUUGUAAACCUCUGUCUUCAGGGACGAAAAAAGACGGUACCUGAGGAGGAAGCUCCGGCUAACUACGUGCCAGCAGCCGCGGUAAUACGUAGGGAGCGAGCGUUAUCCGGAAUUACUGGGUGUAAAGGGAGCGUAGGCGGGAUCGCAAGUCAGAUGUGAAAACUAUGGGCUUAACCCAUAAACUGCAUUUGAAACUGUGGUUCUUGAGUGAAGUAGAGGUAAGCGGAAUUCCUAGUGUAGCGGUGAAAUGCGUAGAUAUUAGGAGGAACAUCAGUGGCGAAGGCGGCUUACUGGGCUUUAACUGACGCUGAGGCUCGAAAGCGUGGGGAGCAAACAGGAUUAGAUACCCUGGUAGUCCACGCCGUAAACGAUGAUUACUAGGUGUGGGGGGACUGACCCCUUCCGUGCCGCAGCAAACGCAAUAAGUAAUCCACCUGGGGAGUACGACCGCAAGGUUGAAACUCAAAGGAAUUGACGGGGGCCCGCACAAGCAGUGGAGUAUGUGGAUUAAUUCGAAGCAACGCGAAGAACCUUACCAGGUCUUGACAUCGUAUGCAUAGCUCAGAGAUGAGUGAAAUCUCUUCGGAGACAUAUAGACAGGUGGUGCAUGGUUGUCGUCAGCUCGUGUCGUGAGAUGUUGGGUUAAGUCCCGCAACGAGCGCAACCCUUACUGUUAGUUGCUACGCAAGAGCACUCUAGCAGGACUGCCGUUGACAAAACGGAGGAAGGUGGGGAUGACGUCAAAUCAUCAUGCCCCUUAUGACCUGGGCCUCACACGUACUACAAUGGCUGUCAACAGAGGGAAGCAAAGCCGCGAGGUGGAGCGAACCCCUAAAAGCAGUCUUAGUUCGGAUUGUAGGCUGCAACCCGCCUACAUGAAGUCGGAAUUGCUAGUAAUCGCAGAUCAGCAUGCUGCGGUGAAUACGUUCCCGGGCCUUGUACACACCGCCCGUCACGCCAUGGGAGUCGGUAACACCCGAAGCCUGUAGUCUAACCGCAAGGAGGACGCAGUCGAAGGUGGGAUUGAUGACUGGGGUGAAGUCGUAACAAGGUA
rnacentral:rRNA from 1 species